rnacentral:rRNA from 1 species
ACGUAGGGCGCAAGCGUUGUCCGGAAUUAUUGGGCGUAAAGAGCUCGUAGGCGGUUUGUCGCGUCUGCUGUGAAAACGCGAGGCUCAACCUCGCGCCUGCAGUGGGUACGGGCAGACUAGAGUGCGGUAGGGGAGACUGGAAUUCCUGGUGUAGCGGUGGAAUGCGCAGAGAUGUGGAGGAACACCGAUGGCGAAGGCAGCCCCCCGGGCCGACACUGACGCUCAUGCACGAAAGCGUGGGGAGCAAACAGGA